rnacentral:rRNA from 1 species
UAGGGAAUCUUCGGCAAUGGGGGCAACCCUGACCGAGCAACGCCGCGUGAGUGAAGAAGGUUUUCGGAUCGUAAAGCUCUGUUGUAAGUCAAGAACGAGUGUGAGAGUGGAAAGUUCACACUGUGACGGUAGCUUACCAGAAAGGGACGGCUAACUACGUGCCAGCAGCCGCGGUAAUACGUAGGUCCCGAGCGUUGUCCGGAUUUAUUGGGCGUAAAGCGGGCGCAGGCGGUUUGAUAAGUCUGAAGUUAAAGGCUGUGGCUCAACCAUAGUUCGCUUUGGAAACUGUCAAACUUGAGUGCAGAAGGGGAGAGUGGAAUUCCAUGUGUAGCGGUGAAAUGCGUAGAUAUAUGGAGGAACACCGGUGGCGAAAGCGGCUCUCUGGUCUGUAACUGACGCUGAGGCGCGAAAGCGUGGGGAGCAAACAGGAUUAGAUACCCUGGUAGUCCACGCCGUAAACGAUGAGUGCUAAGUGUUGGUCUCAUAAGAGAUCAGUGCUGCAGCUAACGCAUUAAGCACUCCGCCUGGGGAGUACGACCGCAAGGUUG